AUUGAACGCUGGCGGCAGGCUUAACACAUGCAAGUCGAGCGGGGAAGGGUAGCUUGCUACCUAACCUAGCGGCGGACGGGUGAGUAAUGCUUAGGAAUCUGCCAUUUAGUGGGGGACAACAUUCCGAAAGGAAUGCUAAUACCGCAUACGUCCUACGGGAGAAAGCAGGGGAUCUUCGGACCUUGCGCUAAAUGAUGAGCCUAAGUCGGAUUAGCUAGUUGGUGGGGUAAAGGCCUACCAAGGCGACGAUCUGUAGCGGGUCUGAGAGGAUGAUCCGCCACACUGGGACUGAGACACGGCCCAGACUCCUACGGGAGGCAGCAGUGGGGAAUAUUGGACAAUGGGGGGAACCCUGAUCCAGCCAUGCCGCGUGUGUGAAGAAGGCCUUAUGGUUGUAAAGCACUUUAAGCGAGGAGGAGGCUACUUUAGUUAAUACCUAGAGAUAGUGGACGUUACUCGCAGAAUAAGCACCGGCUAACUCUGUGCCAGCCGCCGCGGUAA
rnacentral:rRNA from 1 species